AUAAAAUGACGAAUCCCAAAUAGGACGAAACGUACGUGCUGGAU
rnacentral:hammerhead_ribozyme from 1 species